rnacentral:rRNA from 1 species
GUGCCAGCAGCCGCGGUAAGACAGAGGCCACAAGCGUUAGGCGGAAUCACUGGGCUUAAAGCGUGUGUAGGCGGAUCGUUAAGUGCCUUGUGAAAUCCCACCGCUCAACGGUGGAAAUGCUUGGCAUACUGGCGGUCUUGAGCCACCUAGGGGCUACUGGAACAAACGGUGGAGCGGUGAAAUGCGUAGAUAUCGUUUGGAACGCCAAUGGUGAAAACAGGUAGCUGGGGGUGUGCUGACGCUGAGACACGAAAGCCAGGGGAGCAAACGGGAUUAGAUACCCUAGUAGUCC